rnacentral:sRNA from 1 species
CCAUUUCUCCUCUCUCGGUGUUCCUAAGUUGCCUGUAUGUGUUUGUGCAGGGUUGAGGCCUUCUGAGCUGCAACAUUUAACACUAAUACAGAGGAUGAAGCAGAGGACAGUUAAAGGCGGGACACAGCUGCAUAUUUAGGAGUCAAAUAAAAACAACACAAUCACUAACAAUUUUCAAGAGUUUACAGGUUGUAGUUAACGGACUUUAGAAUGGAGACCAUGAAGCAGAUCGAGCACCCGCUUUGAUGUCCGGUAGAACUGAAGUUGUACCUCAGCUUGAGUCCCUAUCACCAGUGCAGUUGGUCGUAAGGAAGUCGGUCUGUAGGAGACUGGAGUUCCCUACUAGAAUACUGGAUCAAGAGCAGUUACUUCACAUCAUUGGUCAUGACGAAUCAGAAGCAUGGGGCGACCACUCGCAAAAUGUCUGGUGGUGUCUAUUGCUCCUCCUUGGCAUAAAUUAUUUAUCAAGUAAAAAUCCAGUCGUUGGAAACAAAUUCCAAACUCUAACUCUUCUUAUCAAACCUUUCUUGAUCGCUUUAGACCUUACCAAUGUCGCAGCCCCUUAAUACAACUAAUUCAUUAUGUUGCGAUGGACCCCUCAACCAUAAAAUUAUUUUUUCUGGCUACUUCAUAACCGUAUUUUGUUACUGUUAUGAAUCACAACGUAAACAUCUGUGUUUAUGAUGGAUGGUCUUAGGCAACCCCUAUGAAAGGGCUAUUUAAGCCCCGUAGACUCGCGACCCACAAGUUGAGAACCACUGAUUUAACCCAAGUCUUCCUGUGUAUGUUUCUGUCAAUUUGGCUAAUUCCCAGUAUGCACUUUCUCUCAGAGGUUAUAUUUAUCUGUACAUGCUGUCACUGCUGUGUGUCUGUCUGCCCUGAACAGUAUCCUCCAGGAGCCAAUUUCACAGAAAUUUCUCAAACUGACUCUGAGCCCUGGGGAUAUUUUAAAGUUGGUUACUAUUUGCUGUCUUGAAUUUCAACUAUCAGCGCAUAGAUCAACACAUUGGGUGCUCGUCUAAUAUUGUAAGGGUCUUGACAUUUGAAGAACUGCUUUUGUCAGAUUUGGUUGCUAUGGAGUGUUCAAAUCUGUGUUCUGCAUAGAAAAGUAAUAGCUCUUUACUAAACACCGCUGAGGCAAUAUUUAUCUUUGCAGAGUAGAGCGCGUUAUGCCCUGGAA